UUAAAUUGAAGAGUUUGAUCAUGGCUCAGAUUGAACGCUGGCGGCAGGCCUAACACAUGCAAGUCGAACGGUAACAGGAAGCAGCUUGCUGCUUCGCUGACGAGUGGCGGACGGGUGAGUAAUGUCUGGGAAACUGCCUGAUGGAGGGGGAUAACUACUGGAAACGGUGGCUAAUACCGCAUAACGUCGCAAGACCAAAGAGGGGGACCUUCGGGCCUCUUGCCAUCAGAUGUGCCCAGAUGGGAUUAGCUUGUUGGUGAGGUAACGGCUCACCAAGGCGACGAUCCCUAGCUGGUCUGAGAGGAUGACCAGCCACACUGGAACUGAGACACGGUCCAGACUCCUACGGGAGGCAGCAGUGGGGAAUAUUGCACAAUGGGCGCAAGCCUGAUGCAGCCAUGCCGCGUGUAUGAAGAAGGCCUUCGGGUUGUAAAGUACUUUCAGCGGGGAGGAAGGUGUUGUGGUUAAUAACCGCAGCAAUUGACGUUACCCGCAGAAGAAGCACCGGCUAACUCCGUGCCAGCAGCCGCGGUAAUACGGAGGGUGCAAGCGUUAAUCGGAAUUACUGGGCGUAAAGCGCACGCAGGCGGUCUGUCAAGUCGGAUGUGAAAUCCCCGGGCUCAACCUGGGAACUGCAUUCGAAACUGGCAGGCUUGAGUCUUGUAGAGGGGGGUAGAAUUCCAGGUGUAGCGGUGAAAUGCGUAGAGAUCUGGAGGAAUACCGGUGGCGAAGGCGGCCCCCUGGACAAAGACUGACGCUCAGGUGCGAAAGCGUGGGGAGCAAACAGGAUUAGAUACCCUGGUAGUCCACGCCGUAAACGAUGUCUACUUGGAGGUUGUGCCCUUGAGGCGUGGCUUCCGGAGCUAACGCGUUAAGUAGACCGCCUGGGGAGUACGGCCGCAAGGUUAAAACUCAAAUGAAUUGACGGGGGCCCGCACAAGCGGUGGAGCAUGUGGUUUAAUUCGAUGCAACGCGAAGAACCUUACCUGGUCUUGACAUCCACGGAAGAAUUCAGAGAUGGAUUUGUGCCUUCGGGAACCGUGAGACAGGUGCUGCAUGGCUGUCGUCAGCUCGUGUUGUGAAAUGUUGGGUUAAGUCCCGCAACGAGCGCAACCCUUAUCCUUUGUUGCCAGCGGUCCGGCCGGGAACUCAAAGGAGACUGCCAGUGAUAAACUGGAGGAAGGUGGGGAUGACGUCAAGUCAUCAUGGCCCUUACGACCAGGGCUACACACGUGCUACAAUGGCGCAUACAAAGAGAAGCGACCUCGCGAGAGCAAGCGGACCUCAUAAAGUGCGUCGUAGUCCGGAUUGGAGUCUGCAACUCGACUCCAUGAAGUCGGAAUCGCUAGUAAUCGUGGAUCAGAAUGCCACGGUGAAUACGUUCCCGGGCCUUGUACACACCGCCCGUCACACCAUGGGAGUGGGUUGCAAAAGAAGUAGGUAGCUUAACCUUCGGGAGGGCGCUUACCACUUUGUGAUUCAUGACUGGGGUGAAGUCGUAACAAGGUAACCGUAGGGGAACCUGCGGUUGGAUCACCUCCUUACCUUAAAGAAGC
rnacentral:rRNA from 3 species